ACAUGCAGUCGAACGGUAACAGGAAGCAGCUUGCUGCUUCGCUGACGAGUGGCGGACGGCUGUGUAAUGUCUGGGGAUCUGCCUGAUGGAGGGGGAUAACUACUGGUAACGGUAGCUAAUACCGCAUAACGUCGCAAGACCAAAGAGGGGGACCUUCGGGCCUCUUGCCAUCAGAUGAACCCAGAUGGGAUUAGCUAGUAGGUGGGGUAACGGCUCACCUAGGCGACGAUCCCUAGCUGGUCUGAGAGGAUGACCAGCCACACUGGAACUGAGACACGGUCCAGACUCCUACGGGAGGCAGCAGUGGGGAAUAUUGCACAAUGGGCGCAAGCCUGAUGCAGCCAUGCCGCGUGUAUGAAGAAGGCCUUCGGGUUGUAAAGUACUUUCAGCGGGGAGGAAGGGGAAGUGGAUAAUAAACACUUUCAUUGACGUUACCCGCAAAAGAAGCACCGGCUAACUCCGUGCCAGCAGCCGCGGUAAUACGGAGGGUGCAAGCGUUAAUCGGAAUUACUGGGCGUAAGGCGCACGCAGGCGGUCUGUCAAGUCGGAUGUGAAAUCCCCGGGCUCAACCUGGGAACUGCAUCCGAAACUGGCAGGGUUGAAUCCUGUAGAGGGGGGUAGAAAUUCCAGGGUAGCGGUGAAAUGCGUAGAGAUCUGGAAGAAUACCGGGUGGCGAAGGCGGCCCCCUGGAAAAAGACUGGCCCUCAGGUGCCGAAACCUGGGGGAGCAAAAGGAUUAAAUUCCCUGGUAUUCCCCCCCGAAACCAAUUCCACUUGGAGGUUGGGGCCCUUGGAGCGUGCUUCCGGAGCUAACGGGUUUAAGCCGACC
rnacentral:rRNA from 1 species